rnacentral:rRNA from 1 species
AUGGACCAUUCCAUCCCUUUUUCCCAUGCAUAUGCAUCGGACUCGGAUGACGAUGGUCCCGAUGAACAAGUUGAUGCGGAGGGGUUCACGGUGAAGGAGGCCGAAGCUUUCGAGAAGGUAUUUGGUCGGGAUCAUCGGACUACAUUGUUCAAGGAUGUUAGUCUCGCGGAUGAAGCCGUGGUAGAUGGUGGCCAAUGUGUACCUCUUGGGGUUAGGCCAAGCUCUCAC